rnacentral:rRNA from 1 species
UGGGAACCUUCCCUAUGGCUCGGAAUAGCUCAGGGAAACUUGGGGUAAUACCGGAUAAGCCCUUCGGGGAAAGAUUUAUCGCCAUUGGAUGGGCCCGCGUCGGAUUAGCUAGUUGGUGAGGUAACGGCUCACCAAGGCAACGAUCCGUAACUGGUCUGAGAGGAUGAUCAGCCACACUGGGACUGAGACACGGCCCAGACUCCUACGGGAGGCAG